GUUAACCGCGGAUUUUUUUCCAUUUGCCAGUUGGCAUCAAACCGCCUUCUGUAAUCCUUCCAGGACCAUUAGCUUCUGGUGGACCAUUGAAAUUGGACAGGGAGGGUUAGCUGGGCAUCCACUGCAGGCAACAGUUGCUACACCACACCCCCUCUCCUAUAGCUGACAGAACAAACCUGCCAAAACCCCACAACCAGUUUCAAAUCCUCCAGCAGUUGUACAAAAUAGAAAAAAAAAACACAAUGAACAUACUAAAACUUCACCGCCCGAAGGUUCCUUGUACUGCAAAAUUUGAUGAAGAAUUACGUGAGGAGUCAAUAGUAGUUAUUAAAGGAAAAUUGACUGAUGAUCCCCUCAGAUUCGAUGUUAAUUUUCAGAAGGGCGACCAUCCUGAUGCAGAC